rnacentral:pre_miRNA from 12 species
CUUGGGAGGGGCGGGAGGGGGUCCCCGGUGCUCGGAUCUUGAGGGUGCUUAUUGUUCGGUCCGAGCCUGGGUCUCCCUCUCCCCCCACCCCUCA